rnacentral:rRNA from 1 species
GGUGCGGCGUGCGGUUUAAUCUAACUCCACGCAGAGAAUCUCACCAGCAGCGACGGCAGAAUGAAGGUCAGUCUGAAGGGCUUACCUGACGAGCCGAGAGGUAGUGCAUGGCCGUCGUCAGCUCGUGCCGUAAGGUGUCCUCUUAAGUGAGGUAACGAGCGAGACCCAUACCCUUAAUUGCUAGCAUGUCCUUUUGGAUGAAUGAGCACAUUAAGGGGACUGCCCUGGAAACGGGGAGGAAGGUGUGGGCAACGGUAGGUCUGUAUGCUCCGAAUCUGCUGGGCUACACGCGCGCAACAAUGGCGAGGACAAUGGGAUGCCACACCGAAAGGUGAAGCUAAACCUCGAAACCUCGUCCAAGUCUAGAUCGAGGAUUGUAAUUCAUCCUCGUGACAACGGAAUCCCUAGUAAUCGGAUUUUAUCAUGGUCCGGUGAAUAUGUCCCUGCUCCUUGCACACACCGCCCGUCAAACCAAUCGAGUGGGGUUUUGGUGAGACCUAGCUUUUAGUUAGUUCGAGCCUAAGUCCCGCGAGGUGGGUUAAGUCGUCACAAGGUAGCCGUAGGGGAACCUACGGCUGGAUCACCUCCUUU